rnacentral:rRNA from 1 species
AUUGAACGCUGGCGGCAGGCCUAACACAUGCAAGUCGAACGGUAGCACAGAGAGCUUGCUCUCAGGUGACGAGUGGCGGACGGGUGAGUAACGUCUGGGAAACUGCCCGAUGGAGGGGGAUAACUACUGGAAACGGUAGCUAAUACCGCAUAACGUCGCAAGACCAAAGUGGGGGACCUUCGGGCCUCACACCAUCGGAUGUGCCCAGAUGGGAUUAGCUAGUAGGUGGGGUAAUGGCUCACCUAGGCGACGCUCCCUAGCUGGUCUGGGAGGAUGACACGCCACACUGGAACUGAGACACGGUCCAGGCUCCUACGGGAGGCAGCAGGGGGGGAUAUUGCACAAUGGGCGCAAGCCUGAUGCAGCCAUGCCGCGUGUAUGAAGAAGGCCUUCGGGUUGUAAAGUACUUUCAGCGGGGAGGAAGGCGGUGAAGUUAAUAACUUCACCGGUUGACGUUACCCGCAGAAGAAGCACCGGCUAACUCUGUGCCAGCCGCCGCAGUAA